AGCAGCCGCGGUAAUUCCAGCUCCAAUAGCGUAUAUUAAAGUUGUUGCAGUUAAAAGCUCGUAGUUGAAUUUCGGGAUCAGUACGCUGGUCGUGCCUCUGGUAUGUACUGGUGUCACUGGUUCCUCCCUUCUGAAGAACCAUCAUGCCAUUAAUUUGGUGUGGUGGGAAAUCAGGACUGUUAUUUUGAAAAAUUGAGUGUUUAAAGCAGGCUCACGCUUGAAUACAUUAGCAUGGAAUAAUGAAAUAGGACGUUGAUCUUAUUUUGUUGGUUUCUAGGAUUGACGUAAUGAUUAAUAGGGAUAGUUGGGGGCAUUAGUAUUCAAUUGUCAGAGGUGAAAUUCUUGGAUUUUAUUGAAGACUAACUACUGCGAAAGCAUUUGCCAAGGAUGUUUUCAUUAAUCAAGAACGAAAGUUAGGGGAUCG
rnacentral:rRNA from 1 species